rnacentral:rRNA from 1 species
UACGAAGGGAGCUAGCGUUGUUCGGAAUCACUGGGCGUAAAGCGCACGUAGGCGGACGUGUCAGUCAGGGGUGAAAUCCCGGAGCUCAACUUCGGAACUGCCUUUGAUACAGCACGUCUUGAGUCCGGAAGAGGUGGGUGGAAUUCCUAGUGUAGUGGUGAAAUUCGUAGAUAUUAGGAAGAACACCGGUGGCGAAGGCGGCCCACUGGUCCGGUACUGACGCUGAGGUGCGAAAGCGUGGGGAGCAAACAGG